AGCCCCGGCGGCGCAGCCCGCGCGGGAGGGGCGGGGGCUCCGUCCCGGCCUGUUGUGGGGCCGAGCGCGGGCGGGAGCCAGGGUGUCUGAGUCAGAGCUGCAUCCUCGUAGGAAUAAACGCCAAAACUCCCUCUUCGGCCGCUCUCGCACCCCCAGUCUCCGGCUUCUUCCUCACGACCGUCGAUGCCGUCAGCAUACGUGUUCUUUAUGAAUCUCUUAACAGCACAUUUUCGGCCUAGACUGCGCGAAAAGCCGGGCAGACCUGCCGGAUCUCACACACGCAGAAGAACUACCUGAGGGGCGGGGAAGAGGGGAACGAGAAAGGAGCGGGAGCUUUUGCAGACCUGCUCAGGAGGUUCUGACUGAAACUCUCAGUAAGACACUCGAGGCUGAGAAUCUUCCCCGAAGCGUUUAAGACUCAAAGGCAAGUGGGAGAAAGCUUCUUUCUUUAAAGCGAGUUGGGACAGUACUCCCUGAAGGCAUUUCUCUUCUGCAGGGAAUGAGACAAUCAGCGAACAAGCCUCGUUUGCCCUUUAGGCAACAGCGCUCGGGGAGCAGGAAUGGCGCGCUUCCAUCCAGACCAGCGGGCGCUGCCAAAGCCAGGAGCUCGCUCAGCCUUUCAGGGCAGGCACAGCCCCGGCCAUUCCUAUGGAGCCCCCCUUCCUACCACCAUCUCUCCUCCCAGCUCCCGCUGUACCCGUACGCCGCCCUGCCUCCCCUGCCCGGCUUCAGCCCCUCCAGCGAUACGGCUGAUGGAGGGAGGGGAGGCGGCGGCUGGGGUUUCGUUCGACGCCCACCAGGGGCUGAGCGAGCCUCCUUCAGUGCGCAAACUCGGGGCACCAGAUAAAAGCUGGGCUGGCAGCUCUUACCCUGCCUCGAUGGAGCCGCCACAUUCGGGUGACUGGAGAAGCAGUUAGCAGCAGCGCCAUAGCCUAGCGUCCCCCCACACCUUGGGCACAGAGAGUUUGGGGCUCUAAACAGCUGCUGCUGCGGCAGGAGGGAGCCGAGGUGAAGGGAUCUGCUAGCUGGUUGGACGCAGAGGAGGCGGCUGUAAUGGGGCAUUAAGUCUGAGGGAGGAGGGGGGGCGAUUAAACGUCUUGUGAUCAUGGCGGAGUCUAUGGGUAUUUUUUUCCUGUCUAACACUUCUGUGCGUGUGUCUCUUGUUUCUUUCUUUCUCUCUCCUUAGGGCGCUUGGCUGGGGCUGCUCGCUCGGGUUCUGCCUGUUGUUGCGCGAAAUGGCGGCUGGCGUCUUGCUACCCUAGGUGAAAGUACACUAAAGGAAGACUUGCUGAAAUCUGAAGAGGGAGACAGGCUCAGUCACUCCAACUCCAGUGGUUCCAGAAUCUGUAAUGUAGACAGGAUAAUUUUUUUCCGUGCAGUUAGUGCUGUACUUUUUUUUGCUGGUUUCUCGGGGGAAAAGAUUCAACAUGUUGAAUCACAGAGAUGUUACUUCCUGCUGGGUUUUGGGAUUUCCUUGCAGCUCUCCCCUCCGUGGCUGCAGGAACUGUUUUUGCUUAGUGCAUGUUCUAAGGCAGGAACUUGCUGGAGAUGAAGAGAGAAGCCAACUAGUUCUGUGCUGAAUGUAAUAGUUUCUGACUCAAAUUGUGUGGUAAUUGUCAAAAUAUCAUAGGGUGUGGUAGGAACUGCUUUGUCAAACAUGUCUGAGGAUUUAUUCCUUUAUCAUUUGCCUAAAUAAGUAUAAUGUGCUAAUCUGAAUUAACAUACCAAAGUCGGGGAGAAGAUUACUUGAUGUAUUCUAGCCACUUGAAACCUGAUUGUGUGCAAAAAUAAAUUUCAGCAUGCUGGA